rnacentral:rRNA from 1 species
AUUGAACGCUGGCGACAGGCUUAACACAUGCAAGUCGAGCGGAGCGAGGGUGCUUGCACCUUAGCUUAGCGGCGGACGGGUGAGUCAUGCUUAGGAAUCUGCCUAUUAGUGGGGGACAACAUUCCGAAAGGAAUGCUAAUACCGCAUACGUCCUACGGGAGAAAGCAGGGGAUCUUCGGACCUUGCGCUAAUAGAUGAGCCUAAGUCGGAUUAGCUAGUUGGUGGGGUAAAGGCCUACCAAGGCGACGAUCUGUAGCGGGUCUGAGAGGAUGAUCCGCCACACUGGGACUGAGACACGGCCCAGACUCCUACGGGAGGCAGCAGUGGGGAAUAUUGGACAAUGGGGGAAACCCUGAUCCAGCCAUGCCGCGUGUGUGAAGAAGGCCUUAUGGUUGUAAAGCACUUUAAGCGAGGAGGAGGCUACUGAGACUAAUACUCUUGGAUAGUGGACGUUACUCGCAGAAUAAGCACCGGCUAACUCUGUGCCAGCAGCCGCCGUAAUAC